rnacentral:rRNA from 1 species
UACGGAGGGUGCGAGCGUUGUCCGGAAUCACUGGGCGUAAAGGGCGCGUAGGUGGCCGAGCAAGGUCGCGGUGAAAGCCCGGGGCUCAACCCCGGGUCGGCCGUGGCAACUACUGGGCUGGAGCACUGUAGGGGCGGGUGGAAUUCCGGGUGUAGCGGUGGAAUGCGUAGAGAUCCGGAAGAACACCGGUGGCGAAGGCGGCCCGCUGAGCAGUUGCUGACACUGAGGCGCGACAGCGUGGGGAGCAAACAGG